UCCAGAGCCACAGAUGUCUCCUUCUCUCAUAUACGCAAGUUAAAAUCCCUAGGUGAGUCCAGGCGAUUAAAUUUUGGGCUAUUACUUUUUAAAUUAUUUAAUAAAUUUCCUUGGGGUAAAAAUACAUGCAAGGUUCUAAGUCUGCUCACUGUAUUAACUGCAAUCUGUCCACAUUUCAUAUGUGGGUCCUGGGUGUUUUAUCUAUUAACAUAUUACCUAUCCCUUAUAGAGAUAUAAUGACUAUAAAAUGCUUUAAAAUUUCAUUUUGUGUGAUGGGGCAGGUAUAGUGGUGAAUAUUACAGCGGAGUGUAAUUUCCUCAGUACUAUUCUGGGAUAGAUAUUAGGGCUGUUCAUAAAUCCUCUAGCUUCAACUUUUCUUCCUCUUUAAAGGUGAACCAGUGCUUGAUUAGCUACGUUUCCUGUUUCUGCAUUGGUGAUCAUGGAAACAAAUGCUGAGAAGGAGCCUCUGCUGCCUGGGUACGUGAAUGACCACGGUGAACAGAGGGCUCAGUAAGGAACCCUGACGGACUGGUUUCAACUACUGUAGUGGGGGAAGACAAUCUGAUAUGAGAAAAAUGGAGACUUAAGGAAGAAAGAAGUUUUCCCCAUGAUGGCAUGAAGAAAAGCCACACAGUCCUCUGGCGGGAACCAUUAGAGGAAGGGACUAACAUUGUUCUCCCCUGAGUCUCUUCUUUGAGGCAGGGAGAAGACCCUGGAACAUCUGCAGGUGCAGAGAAAUGCCACCACUGGAUCAAGUGUUUGUCCUGUGAUAUGGAGACCACUCAAACAGCUUUACAAUUGUGUGCUAGUCAAGUGUAGAAUCAAAACCCUUUCUGUAGUUUCUGUUUGAGAAAAUAAAAAAGUUCUGGAGAUGGAUGGUUGUACAAUGUGAAUGUAUUUAACACUGAACAAUACAAUUAAAGACGGUAAAAUAGUAAAUGUUGUUAUGUAUAUUUUAC
rnacentral:lncRNA from 1 species